rnacentral:rRNA from 1 species
AGAGUUUGAUCAUGGCUCAGGAUGAACGCUGGCGGCGUGCUUAACACAUGCAAGUCGAACGGAGACAUAUUUUGUAAGUUUUCGGAUGGAAAGAUAUGUUCUUAGUGGCGGACGGGGUGAGUAAUGUAUGAGCAACCUACCUUUAAGAGGGGGACGAACAGUUGGAAACGACUGCUAAUACCGCAUAAUGCGAAUUUGCCGCAUGGCAGAUUUGUCAAA